rnacentral:rRNA from 1 species
UACGGGGGGGGCAAGCGUUGUUCGGAAUUACUGGGCGUAAAGGGCGCGUAGGCGGCCUUCUAAGUCGAACGUGAAAUCCCUGGGCUCAACCCAGGAACUGCGUCCGAUACUGGGAGGCUUGAAUCCGGGAGAGGGAUGUGGAAUUCCAGGUGUAGCGGUGAAAUGCGUAGAUAUCCGGAAGAACACCGGUGGCGAAGGCGGUCUGCUGGGGUAAUGCUGACACUGAUGCGCGACAGCGUGGGGAGCAAACAGG